rnacentral:tRNA from 1 species
AAAAAUUUAAGUUAAUAAAACUAUUGACCUUCAAAGUCAAAAAUAGAGAAUUUUUCUAAUUUUUA